rnacentral:rRNA from 1 species
GAUGAACGCUAGCGGCAGGCUUAAUACAUGCAAGUCGAGGGGCAUCAAGGUACACGAAAGUGUAUUGUUGGCGACCGGCGGACGGGUGAGUAAUAGGUAGGUAACCUACCUCAUACUGAGGCAUAGCUGGGAGAAAUUCCAGGUAAUUCCUCAUGAGGUUAUAUGACACAUGUGAUAUAAUCAAAGGUAUCGCAAGGUACUGGUAUGAGAUGGGCUUACUGACCAUUAGCUAGUUGGUGAGAUAAGAGCUCACCAAGGCGAAGAUGGUUAGGGGUUUUGAGAGAGAGAUCCCCCACAUUGGAACUGAGAUACGGUCCAGACUCCUACGGGAGGCAGCAGUAGGGAAUAUUGGCAAUGGGCGGAAGCCUGACCCAGCCAUGCCGCGUGAAGGAAGACGGCCUUAUGGGUUGUAAACUUCUUUACUAUGCGACUAACUAGAUUUACGAGAUAAUUCUAUAGAAUGUAGCAUAGCAAAAAGCACC